rnacentral:rRNA from 1 species
AUGUCUGGCGGCGGGCAAGCAGCGGUCUCGUUCCUGACGAAGGUCGCAAAGGUGGCUGCCGGGUUGGGCUUGACGGCAUCUGCCGUCUCCACGUCCCUCUACACGGUGGACGGCGGCCAACGGGCGGUCAUCUUCGACCGCUUCCAGGGCGUUCUCCCGGCGGUCGUCUCGGAGGGCACCCACUUCCUCGUCCCCUGGCUCCAGAAGCCCUUCCUCUUCGACAUCCGCACGCGCCCGCACAGCUUCUCCUCCACCUCCGGAACCAAGGAUCUGCAGAUGGUCAGCCUCACGCUCCGCGUCCUCGCCCGCCCCGAUGUGGAACGCCUUCCUGAAAUCUUCACCAACCUCGGCCUCGACUACGACGACAAGGUGCUCCCCUCCAUCGGCAACGAGGUGCUCAAGGCGGUCGUCGCCCAGUUCAACGCAGACCAGCUCCUCACCGACCGUCCCCACGUCUCUGCCCUCGUCCGUGAAGCCCUCGUCCGCCGCGCCGGCGAGUUCAACAUCGUGCUCGAUGACGUCGCCAUCACCCACCUCGCCUACGGGCACGACUUCGCCCAGGCCGUUGAGAAGAAGCAGGUCGCGCAGCAGGAGGCUGAGCGCUCCAGGUUCCUCGUUGCGCGUGCAGAGCAGGAGAGGCGUGCUGCUAUCGUUCGCGCGGAGGGAGAGAGCGAGUCCGCACGGCUCAUCUCAGAUGCCACCGCUCUUGUAGGCAAUGGCCUGAUCGAGCUCAGGAGGAUCGAGGCUGCCAAGGAGAUAGCUGGGGUGAUUGCGCGCUCACCCAAUGUUUCCUACAUCCCUUCUGGCAACAACGGCCAGAUGCUGCUUGGGCUCAGCACUGCCCGGGAUAUGGUCCUCUAUGGUUAUUGCUCAGAAGCAACUUGGUUUUUGAAUUAUUGGUUUCAUUUGUUGUUUUUUCUGAUUAAAGUUCUACGAUUGUUUUGUUGA